GCUGGGAAAAACAAAGCCGGUCAGGGACGGGGUGUCCGUGUGUCUGGCGAAAUCUAGCCCAGGGUUACAGGCGCCCGUGAAAGCCAGCAAGGCCAGCUCAGCUCUCGGAGCACCUUGUGAAACGCGGAGAGAGAGUGUGAGUAGGGAAGGGGCAGACAGAGAAAGAGACACAGAAUCCGCAGCAGGCUCCAGGCCCUGAGCUGUCAGCACAGAGCCCGAUGUGGGGCUUGAACUCACAAACAGCGAGAUCAUGACCUAGGCUGAAGUCGGAUGCCUAACCGACGGAACCACCCAGGCCCCCCUACGUCAAUAUUUUUUUAAAGUCUGGAAGGCGACACAUAAAAAUGUUAACGGCGCUCACCUUUGGCAAAAUUAUGAGUAA